GGAAUAAACUCCGAUUUAGCGGGGAAGGAGGGCCGCCGCCUAGCUUUCGAGGAAGCUACCGAGCUAGGGUUUCAAAUUGAUGGUGAACUUGCAAAUGAUUAGAGGUGUAGUUUAUCUUAAAUCACUCUGCUGCAAAUGCUAACUGGAAGAGAAAGUUUGUGCAGAUUGAUGGGCAAACGCCGUUGUUUCUUGCCAGCUUUCAAUCUAUUCUCUCUUCGCCAAUCCAGUUCUUCGAAUCUAUUGUCUGAUUGAAAUGGAAGUUUGGCUGAAACUGAAUGUUCCAAAGGCAAGGCUGAAAUAUCAGGCUCCGAUCAGUCCUUGUAGAAAAAGAGAGGGUGUUCAUGUUUUGAACUUGUUACUUCACCUGGAGUCAGAGCAAUUACACAACGAAAGCAUGUACGUUUCUUGCACUCAUUACACAUAUAGGAGAAGGCAUUAGACCAGAAACUACAACUCACAAAGGAAAAAUGAGCCUGAAGUAAGCUUGAGAGGUUCUUGACAUCGAUGAUGCCAAACAUGCUUCACCCUAGGUAACAUGGCACAAACUUUAUGAAGAAAAAAAUUACGCUCCAGACAAUAGUAAAAUGAAUCCGAAAGCGGUAACAUGCACCCAUCACAACUUUUAUCAUGCUCCAUAAUCAUGUCACUUAACAUUAGGUUAUGCUUAUGCUUGAUGUGUUUUACUUCUAUAGCAUCCCCAGCAUUGUUCCUCUGAAAAACACAAGUGAUGGACUCAACAGAUUUAUCUAGCAACUUCAAACUUCCGCUAGAUUUCUCAUCUUCGUUUUCGAGUGAAACUACAAAAUAUGAACUUUCAUACUUCGUCACACAAUUCACAUGGAAUAUAAUCUUGCAAUCCAAACACGAGUAAUUACCGAGCUCUUCAUUGACCUUACAACGACAAAUUAU